GUGAGGAAGAAGAUCGUCCGAAUUUUUGAAGAUAUUUUUGUCCAAAAAAAUUAUUACAAGAUUACUAAAUAUAUGGUAAUCUGGAUAGCCACCUUUCUUUUUGAUAAUCUAGAUUACCUCAUGGGAGAUAAUUUAGAUUAUCAAUCCAAAAAACAUACCAAACGUGCUAAUUUGGUAGGACCUCUUUUAAUUGCCAGCAAUUUGGAUAGAUUGCCAGCUAUUAGAUGCAACCUAAAGAGAAGAAGGGAAGAGAAACAUGAUGGCCUUGAGCACCCGAGGGAAGAAGUGGAGAUAUUUGAACAAGAUAGAUAAGAGGCG
rnacentral:lncRNA from 1 species